rnacentral:lncRNA from 1 species
UCUUAGGUAAGAGAAUACAUAACAGAAACAAAGUCAAGGGGCUAGAACAAUGGCUCAGAGGAGAAGAGAGCUUGCUGUGCAACCAAGAGGACCAGAGUUCGAAUCCCAGUGACCCUGUAACAGGCCAGGAAGCACAGGAAUCCUAGGUUGGUUUAACACCGAGAAUAAGACAGGAUGAAAUUAAAUUUCUUCCUCCUGGAAAGAGAACUCUGAAGCCUGAAGGCAAUAAACGAUGAUGUUUUGAGUGA